CAGUGACAAGCCUCAAUGGUAUCAUAAUCAACUAAUUUUUUGACCUGUAUAUGUUAAUAAUAUAUAUUAUUAUCCCUUUUCCAAGAUUUUUGUGUUUUAAUAGUUUAUUUGAAGUGCUUGUGCAAAUGGGUUUUUGUUUUAUCUGCGUGUGCAUUAUCUAGUUGUGCAAUUUUAUGACUUUUGUGCCCCUUUUCCAUAUAUUCAAAUGGGUUAUGUUUUUGUGCAUGUGCCUUUUCGCCCAUAUGUGCAGCUGUUCUGUUCAUAUGCUUUAAAAUUUUAUAAAUUGAAGUAUUAAUGGUUCGCUUUUGGGGGAAACUAAGAAAUUGCCGCAUAUGGCGGUUCACUUUGAGGAAAGCGACACUCAGUUCUCCACUUCAGGCAAAAACAAG
rnacentral:misc_RNA from 1 species